CGUUCGGCGCGACCGCCCGAAUGGAUAUUUGUGGCAACCACUGCAACGCAAGACAGUCAUCUGCAGUGCUCACUUUGUCGGUAACAAAGCGAGCACGAUUGCCGGCCAUCCCGCCUAUGUACCAACUGUGUUUCCGCCGUGUUACAGAAGAAGUGAUGCAGUACUACCGGCAUCAAAGCUCGACAGAUAUAAGAGGGUUCAGCGACGUCGCGCAGUGCUUCAAGCGCCGACAUCCAAGAGCGCGAUCACGGCGACUGCGGAUUCCUUUGAGGACUCCUCGAUUGACCUCGCCGACGAAAUCAUUGCAUCACCGGAAGAAACUGGCACAUCCGCAUCCGUGAUGACCCAGACAGAUGCAGAUUUUAACGGAGGUGUUUGCACUCUGCUCCUCUCUGUGACAGCAGAAGGCGUGGCAUCUACUCAAGUUUGCCAUACCGACAUUGUAGAGAAAGGUGUACAAGCAAGUGCCUCUGUGAGAUCGACAGCUACUGGACCGAACGAGCGCAGCUGUGCAUUUCUUGGCUACAAUUCCCUGAUUCAGAGAAAGGAUGCCUUUCGUGAACUGUGUGGCGUUAGCGCAAACGUCUUUUCUCUGUUAUUGUCUGUGCUUUCAUCCAUUGCUGUGAGGGAAGUGUGUGUGCCAAUUUCCCAGAAGUUGUCCAUGUUCUUGAUGAAGAUGAAGCUCGGCGUUUCAUUCGCCAGCAUUGCAGUGCUUUUUGGCCUUCAUCGUAGGACAGUUAGCCGCACAUUCUACUUUGUAUUAACUAAUCUGUUAAAUGCAAUGCAGAAAUGGAUGCCGGAGCCAUCGCUUGGAGCAGUACAAGCCACCAUGCCCACAUGUUUUAGGCUGCACUACCCGCGCUGCCGCUACAUAAUUGAGUGCACAGAGCUUCGCACAGAAGAACCACCCACCACAGAACAGAAACGUGCCCUGUUUUCGCACUACAAAGGUGGCUACACGUUGAAGUUUUUGAUAGGUAUAUUGCCAAAUGGAACAGUCACUUUUGUGUCACAGGCCUAUGGUGGCCGCACCUCAGACACUCACAUUACGCUGGAAUCAGGGUUUCUUGAUCGUAUAGAACCAGGAGAUGUUGUUUCAGCGGACAAGGGUUUCCCUGGAAUUAAAGCACCCACUUAAAUCCAGAAGGGAAUUAUUGUGCUACCGCCAUUUUCAAAAGGAAAUGUUCAAUUCACUCACGAAGAGCUGGAGCAAACCUAUCAUGUCGCACAAGUGCGUAUACACGUUGAAAGAGCAAUACAGAGACUGAAAAUGUUCGGCAUAGUGAAUUCAAGGGUGCCUUUUGAUCUGAUUCCCCACAUGAGUGACAUAAUGCGGAUGUGCUGCAUUCUUGCGAACCUUCAGCCACCCAUUAUUAAUGAGCCAAGUAAUCAAGACACAGAGUAAGUUUGAAUGCUCAUUUUUUAUAAGUUUGUUGGGCCAAAAAGCAGCCUUUUGAAUAUGGUGGGCUGAGUGCGACAUCACUGAAUGUUUGUCUACCAUACAUGCUUAGUUGUAAUGGUUCCAAAAGAGAAUUAAGGUUGUUCUCUCAGUGGCUAAGCGAACUUUUUCUUCAAUGUUUGAGAUGCUGGUGAUAAUGGCACAGACAGGUUGGCUUAUGGGGAGUGUAGCAUAGCAGCAGCUGUAGCGGUGCUGGCAUGGUGUUAUUUGUAUACUAAGUCAGCACGUGAUGCGAUGGAUGGUAAAUAAAAAUACAUUUAAAAAUAUAGAAUUUUCUGCGGUUCAUUUCAAAUUUACACACAUGUUGGUACCUGCACGUGAGCUCAGAGUGGAAGCUUCUCAAAAGCCAUGUCCAUCACUGCAAAUGAAAAAAGAAUGUCGCGCAUUCUUCAAGGAACAGUAAUUGUACGACA